rnacentral:tRNA from 1 species
GAGGUUUUAGCUUAAUUAAAGCGUCUGAUUUGCAGUCAGAAGAUGUAGUGUAAAGCUCUACAGGUCUUC